CACCCAAACGGAGCGUUCGUCAAAACUUCCAACAUAGACAUUAAAGGUUGUGUGCGGCUGCUUAAAGACCAGCCGGAAGAGUUUCAGACUGAAAACCUGUUGAACGCACUGAGGUACACUACAGCUCAUCUAAACGACCCGUCUACAUCAAAAACAGUCAGAUCCCUGCUCAUGGAGGCGUGAUUUUUAUUUUUUUUACAACAUUGCUCAACCCAAGAUCUGAUUUUUAUAAAAUCAUAUAUUUGUAUUAAGUAUUAUAUAAUUUAUUAUUUUAACAUGUAGUAUUAUUUUAUAAGUUAACGGAUACAUCAUGUAUAAUAUUGUGUUUUAAGAUAUAUUUUUUACUAUCCUGUUUUCACAACUAAGUGUAUUAGUAAAUCAGUACUUUUAUAUUAAGACUCCGCAGCUACAGUUUUAAUUAUUUACAGACAUAAGUCCAUCUCUCAUGUAUAAUAUAUUGUAUAGGUGUCUACUAUAAUAUGCAGUAUAUUUUAUAUAAUAUGUAUAAGUAAUACGUAUAAUAUGCGUUUAUUAUAAUUUAUAACUUAAUGUUUAAUUGUUUUAAGAUCAAAGCAAAAAGUUACGUAUACGGAACUAUCAACUAUAAUAGGUUAUAAUAUAUAGCCUAUUAUAAUAUAACUUAGGUAUAUUGCAUGUUAAAAGCACGUUAAUCGUAGGUCUUCCUUUAGCAAUCCAGCACCUUUUAAUUAUCACUGACCGUCUAUACCGCAGUAAUUUAGAUUAUACCCAAAAUAUGCACUAUCGUACAAGUAUUUAAAAUGUUUUUUAUUGGUACCUACCAGCUAUACGAUAUAACACACGUCAUUGAACAUUUCACGUUUUUCGGCACGAGUCUAAUUGUGGGCAUAUAUCAAUAGAGUACCUAUAUAUAUUUGAUGUUUCAACCCAUGAUAUGGGCGUGGAUUGCAUCUUUUUGGAGUUAGACAUUUUUUUAAUCUAUUAUUAAUUGUAUCUAUAAUAACACAAGUCGCAUGCCGCAGCAAAGAAGGUCGUAUCUUUGUUUUCACAAUUUUUUUUUUCUAUUUGUCAACUGUUUUUGUGUAGUUCCCGCGAAACUGAUAGUCGUAUAAAACAAUCAAAAACGUUCUACACAAUAAAAUGCAGUUAUUACCGUAUUCAUGGGAACUACACAAAAAUAGUUAUGACAACUUGAAAAAAAAU